CCAAAUCCAAGCAAAAAACACCUUUUAUUAUGAAGUGCGUGUACACAACUUUGUAAAAAUAAUACAUCUCACUCUUUAACUUGUAAGAGAAAAUAAUUGUUAUCAUUCUAUUGUAUCUCAAACAAAAGAAAAAAAGUAGUUCAAAAUGGGUAAUAGGGUACCCAACUCAAUCCAUAGAUCAAUUGAAACACAUAAUACAAACAAAUAGGUUCAAAUAUCAUAAGCAAAAAGAAAAAGAAAAAAUCAAAAUCAUGUCUCAGACUAAUGAAAACAUGUAAUAUCAAUUAAAAAUAUUAAAUAUUUUUUUAUUUUUGUUUUAAUAUUAUUAGUCCGAAACAUGAUUUGAGAUAACGAAUCAUUAUUCCAACACUCAUAAAUGAAAAUGGGUGUGUGAUUAGCAUUACCCCUUGGAGUUUGAGGAAUAAAUGUUACUCUUUCCCUCUAACUUCUUCUCCUUACCACACCCCCACACCCAACAUCUAACAUUGCCAUAACCUCCUCCAUUUCCACCACCACCACCUCCCCAACCCCAUCCACCACCACCUCCUCCUCCUCCUCCUCCACCACCACCACCACCACUACCUCCUCCACCACCUCCACCUCCCCCUUCUCCACCUCCACCUCCCCCUUCUCCACCACCACCUCCUCCUCCACCACUCCCACUUCCUCCACCCCAUCCAUGACCUUUGCCAUUUCCUCCUCCUCCACCACCUCCACCUCCACCAUUUCCACUUCCUCCACCCCCUCCAUGACCUUUACCACCCCCUUCUCCCCUUCCAUGACCUUUCCCAUUUCCUCCACCUCCUCCUCCACCUCCCCCACCUGAACCACCACCUCCACCUCCACCUCCACCCCCACCACCUCCAUUGCCUACUCCACCACCAACACCUCCUCCAUUUCUGCUAUUAAAUUUCCUUCCGGCUAAUACUUUAUCAUAUGAGUUUAUCUUUCUUCCACCAACAUCUUCCACCAAACUAUGGUUUCCAUGGCCAACUUCAGGAGCUAUAGUGAUGGAGUUGGUGCCAUUCUUCAUCACUUGAGAAUCAUUUCUCCCAUUAACCAAACAAGGACUUAAGAUCACUACUACAACAAUAAGCACUUCAAACACUCUUUUCAUCAUCUCCAUGUGUUGCUAAUGAAUGGAGAUGCAUGAUACUUGCAAUAUCAUACCACCCUUUUAUACCCAUCUCAUUCAAGUGCCACACUUCAACACAAAAUUUGGACCAUAUAAC
rnacentral:lncRNA from 1 species